ensembl:lncRNA
CCCCCCCCCCCCCCCCCAAACCCUCUUCUUCCUCCUCCGCAUCGCCUCUUCCAGCAUUGGAGAGGUGGGGGGAUGGGAUGGGAUGGACGGACGGACAGACGGACACCAUUGGGAUGGACGGACGGACAGCACUGCAAUGGACGGACGGACGGACAUCACUGGGAUGGAUGGACAGACGGACACCAUUGGGAUGGAUGGAUGGACGGCACUGCAAUGGAUGGACGGACAGACAUCAUUGGGAUGAAUGGACGUCAUUGGGAUGGACGGACGGACGGACACCAUUGGGAUGGACGGACAGCACUGCAAUGGACGGACAGACGGACAUCAUUGGGAUGAAUGGACGUCAUUGGGAUGGACGGACGGACGGACACCAUUGGGAUGGACGGACAGCACUGCAAUGGACGGACAGACGGACACCGCAAUGGGAUGGAUGGAUGGACGGCACUGUGAUGGACAGACGGACGGACGGACACCAUUUGGAUGGAUGGACGGACAGCACUGCAAUGGACGGACAGACGGACACCAUUGAGAUGGACGGACGUCAUUGGGAUGGAUGGACAGACGGACACCAUUGGGAUGGAUGGACGGACGGCACUGUGAUGGACGGACAGACGGACACCAUUGGGAUGGAUGGACGGACGGCACUGUGAUGGACGGACAGACGGACACCAUUGGGAUGAAUGGACGUCAUUGGGAUGGACGGACGGACGGACACCAUUGGGAUGGAUGGAUGGACAGCACUGCAAUGGACGGACGGACAGACGGACACCAUUGGGAUGGAUGGACGUCAUUGGGAUGGACGGACAGACGGACAGCAUUGGGAUGGAUGGACGGACAGCACUGCAAUGGAUGGACGGACAGACGGACAGCAUUGGGAUGGACAGACAGCACUGUGAUGGACGGACAGACGGACAUCAUUGGGAUGAAUGGACGUCAUUGGGAUGGACGGACGGAUGGACACCAUUGGGACAGACGGACAGACGGACAUCAUUGGGAUGGAUGGACGGACAGCACUGCAAUGGACGGACGGACAGACGGACACCAUUGGGAUGGAUGGAUGUCAUUGGGAUGGACGGACAGACGGACACCAUUGGGAUGGACGGACAGCACUGUGAUGGACGGACAGACGGACACCAUUGGGAUGGAUGGACGGACAGACGGACACCGCAAUGGGACGGAUGGACGGCACUGUGAUGGAUGGACGGACGGACGGACACCAUUGGGAUGGACGGACAGAUGGACACCGCAAUGGGAUGGAUGGACGGACAGCACUGCAAUGGACGGACAGACGGACAUCAUUGGGAUGGAUGGACGUCAUUGGGAUGGACGGACGGACGGACACCAUUGGGACGGACGGACAGCACUGCAGUGGACAGACAGACAGCACUGCGAUGGAUGGACAGACGGACAUCAUUGGGAUGAAUGGACGUCAUUGGGAUGGACGGACGGACAGACAGACACCAUUGGGACGGACGGACAGACGGACAUCAUUGGGAUGGACGGACGGACAGCACUGCAAUGGACGGACGGACAGACGGACACCAUUGGGAUGGAUGGAUGGACAGCACUGUGAUGGACGGACGGACGGACACCAUUGGGAUGAAUGGACGUCAUUGGGAUGGACGGACGGACAGCACUGGGACGGACGGACAGACGGACACCGCAAUGGGACGGACAGCACUGCAAUGGAUGGAUGGACGGAUGGACACCAUUGGGAUGAAUGGACGGACAGCACUGCAGUGGACGGACAGACGGACACUGCAAUGGGAUGGAUGGAUGGACGGCACUGUGAUGGACAGACGGACGGACGGACACCAUUGGGAUGGAUGGAUGGACAGCACUGCAAUGGACGGACAGACGGACAUCAUUGGGAUGGAUGGACGUCAUUGGGAUGGACGGACGGACGGACACCAUUGGGAUGGAUGGACGGACAGCACUGCAAUGGACGGACGGACAGACGGACACCAUUGGGAUGGACAGACAGCACUGUGAUGGACAGACAGACGGACACCAUUGGGAUGGAUGGACGGACACCAUUUGGAUGGACGGACAUCAUUGGGACGGACGGACAGACGGACACCGCAAUGGGAUGGAUGGAUGGACAGCACUGCAAUGGAUGGACGGACAGACGGACACCAUUGGGAUGGAUGGACGGACAGCACUGCAAUGGACGGACGGACAGACGGACACCAUUGGGAUGGAUGGAUGUCAUUGGGAUGGAUGGACAGACGGACACCAUUGGGAUGGACGGACAGCACUGUGAUGGACGGACAGACGGACACCAUUGGGAUGGAUGGACGGACAGACGGACACCGCAAUGGGACGGAUGGACGGCACUGUGAUGGAUGGACGGACGGACGGACACCAUUGGGAUGGACGGACAGAUGGACACCGCAAUGGGAUGGAUGGACGGACAGCACUGCAAUGGACGGACAGACGGACACCAUUGGGAUGGAUGGAUGUCAUUGGGAUGGAUGGACAGACGGACACCAUUGGGAUGGACGGACAGCACUGUGAUGGACGGACAGACGGACACCAUUGGGAUGGACAGACGGACAGACGGACACCGCAAUGGGACGGAUGGACGGCACUGUGAUGGAUGGACGGACGGACGGACACCAUUGGGACGGACGGACAGACGGACAUCAUUGGGAUGGAUGGAUGUCAUUGGGAUGGACGGACAGACGGACACCAUUGAGAUGGACGGACAGCACUGUGAUGGACGGACAGACGGACACCAUUGGGAUGGAUGGAUGUCAUUGGGAUGGACGGACGGACGGACACCAUUGAGAUGGACGGACAGCACUGUGAUGGACGGACAGACGGACACCAUUGGGAUGGAUGGAUGGACAGACGGACACCCAAAUGGGACGGACAGCACUGCAAUGGAUGGACAGACGGACACCAUUGGGAUGGAUGGACAGACGGACACCGUUGGGAUGGAUGGACGUCAUUGGGGUGGACAGACAGACGGACAUCAUUGGGAUGGAUGGACAGAUGGACAGCACUGCAAUGGACGGACAGACAGACGGACACCAUUGGGAUGGAUGGACGGACGGCACUGCAAUGGACGGACAGACGGACACCAUUGGGAUGGACGGACGGACAGACGGACGCCGCGGAGAUGGGGUGGAUGGACACGGAUGGGGGGUGGGGGUGAUGCUAUGGGGUGGG